GGGUUCGGCGCCGCCUUCGCCCUCCAGAAGCUACUCAACAGGAAGCUGCCGUACCCCAUGCAGUGGACCGUCCUCCUGGCUGUGGUUGCAGGCUCCGCCGGCAGCUACGCGGUGACCCGGGCGGAGACGUGGAAAUGCUCCGACCUCUGGCUCUUCCUGGAGACGGGCCGGCUCCCCCAAGACGGGGCGGCAGAGCCGAGCAUCCGGCUGGACUCCCCCGAGAGCAGGGAGCCGGCCCCGCAGAGGAACCGGUAUGGAGAUGUGCUGGAAUAGGCGAACGAGGAUCCUGGCGGGACCUCCGAUGGUCCCGGAGCCGGCGGCCCUCCCCGGGCGGGGAGCGGGGGUCGGGCCGGUGGGAUCCGGCAGGCUUCCCCUCUGCGUCCUUCCCUCUGACGGCCCUCCGUGGUGGCGGAGAGAAGGCCCCCUGGCCUAUCCCCGGAGGGGUUGGUGAUUAAAUCUGUGUCCCGAAGGA